rnacentral:lncRNA from 1 species
CGGCGCGUUGACUAGCGCGCUUGUCAGUACCCUGAAAGCGCUUGCACGCUGCAUUUACAGCGUAAUCGCGACUGCACAGUCGCAUCGUGGUAUUUUACGAACUGCAUCGUGCUGCGUAUCCUCGUACCCUCGUUUCAUCGUUGCUAUGUAUCGGUGAUGUAGACUCGUUAAUAGACGUGUUGAGGGUGUCUGAGCUUGAAGAAGGGGUAGGCGCAAAGAGUAGUGCCGGAUCUCGUUAGAGGGUCGACAAUCAAAUCUGGGAUCGUGACACGCGAGGAAUGACAAAAAUCAAUAAAAGAAACAGAUUUUGUGUUUCAGACAUUAUUUAAAAACGAGACACCAGUGUUGCCACGAGAAAAUCAACCCUAAUCUCCGUCAAACGGUGCAAUAAAAGGACGACUUGAAAUAUACUGAAUCAGCUCGUGCUAAUCGGGCGCUACUCGAUGUUUGAGAAAGUCUCGACAUGACACGAAGCUAAACAAAGUGUAAGGAGAUCCUGCCGCUGUCAGCAUGUGGACGAAUCACUUGAUAGUGGAUCUAUCAACACGCGUAUGGCCGCUGCUUCCGUGCUGUUAAGUACGUGGACAAGUACGUACGUAAGGUUCAUGAAAAAGAACGCAUUUGUGAAAUAUAGAGAGACCUGCGAAAUAGAAUUACACAGAUUAAUAUUAAUAUUUAUUAUACAUUAUUUCUUAUAGUAAUAAGAAUUAUCAACAGAAAUUAAGUCAUUUUUAGAAAUUAUAUCACAAAUAUGAGUCCUCUACAUUUCAAGUCAAAUGCGGAGGUAUUUUCAAAAAAAGUGCGCCAGGCAUCUCCAAAUUAUUUUGGUUAACUAAUAUAGACAAUUGUUGCUGAAUGAUACAUUUAUGAAAAAACUGGUUUUGCACGGCAAAUUAUAAUUAUAAUAUAAUUAUGAGUAAUGCAUUUAUUUUCGAUAUUGAAAUAGUAUUGUAUGUACUUUUAUAUGUACCGUGUAGAAGUUAUCCUUUGGCCUUUAACAUCGUUACGUAUUAAAAUAUCAAAGAUAUAUAUAAGGUGUAAAAAACUAAAAAACCUGAAGUAAUUAAGACAAAGUUGAAUUAUAACCUACGUCAUAUUCUAAAUAUACGCACGCAUUAUCUUUAACUGAAGCGAGAUUUUAAUUAAACGUUCAAGAUACUGUGUAUAUUUCUAACUCUUUCCAAGUUAUUUCUUCAAGACAAACGUUGUCAAUUGUUCUACAAGCACAUAAUAUAACACAUGUCUCAAGGUUCUUUUAAAACUGCACGACACCAAGUUUGAUUUCCCAGUCAUGUCCCAGAUAUGGCCAUUUACUGUUUUAUACUUCUCUAUACUGUAAGCCUUUUUUAAACACGUGUUUAUACCGCAUGUAUGUCACAUUUAUAUCCCAUACUCUUUCAUCCGUCACCAAUUCCUUACUAUAUACCUCAUAAUCUGUAAGAGUGAAAGCGCAGCAAGAUUAGAUUCAUCCAGUGAACCGAAAAAUCUGGACUUGACUGCCGCACGGUCCCUCUUUGAUCAAUCGAGUGAUAGCAUCAUUAGCUAGCACCACUAUCAGCGGUCCCCAACAUCGUUAAUACCGGUAUGCUAGAACCGCGCUAUAGAGAUAGUAGCGGUUGUAAUAGUAGUCGCAGCCACCGUAGCCGUUGUAUAAUAGCGCUAAUUUUUUCGCUUGCGUUAUCACUAAUCACACCAAGUUAUUUAAGCUAGCAACCUGCGCACAUUGCCAAA